CCCUUAGACGUUCUGGGCCGCACGCGCGCUACACUGACCAGUGCAACAAGCAUCCGUCCUUGGCCGACAGGCUCGGGCAAUCUUUGAACGCUGGUCGUGAUGGGGAUAGACUUUUGCAAUUUUUGGUCUUCAACGAGGAAUUCCUAGUAAACGCAAGUCAUCAACUUGCAUUGAUUACGUCCCUGCCCUUUGUACACACCGCCCGUCGCUGCCCGGAACUGAGCCAUUUCGAGAAAAAUGGGGACAGACUGCUUGUGGGUGCGCAAGCACUUCUUGCAGAUUGAAACCAUCUUGAUCGGUAUGGCUUGAACCGGGCAAAAGUCGUAACA
rnacentral:rRNA from 1 species